GAUGAACGCUAGCUACAGGCUUAACACAUGCAAGUCGAGGGGAAACGGCAUUGAGUGCUUGCACUCUUUGGACGUCGACCGGCGUACGGGUGAGUAACGCGUAUCCAACCUUCCCAUUACUGUGGGAUAACCUGCCGAAAGGCAGACUAAUACCGCAUAGUCUUCGAUGACGGCAUCAGAUUUGAAGUAAAGAUUUAUCGGUAAUGGAUGGGGAUGCGUCUGAUUAGCUUGUUGGCGGGGUAACGGCCCACCAAGGCGACGAUCAGUAGGGGUUCUGAGAGGAAGGUCCCCCACAUUGGAACUGAGACACGGUCCAAACUCCUACGGGAGGCAGCAGUGAGGAAUAUUGGUCAAUGGACGGAAGUCUGAACCAGCCAAGUAGCGUGCAGGAUGACGGCCCUAUGGGUUGUAAACUGCUUUUGUAUGGGGAUAAAGUUAGGGACGUGUCCCUAUUUGCAGG
rnacentral:rRNA from 1 species